UCCGGCCGCCCACGUUGCAUCUGUCGUUGGUUGGUAUUGGCUGCUGCACUCGAGUGGCACUGGUCCGGCCACCCAACUGUAUUGUCAUUGUGUUGGCAUUGGCGUCGUGUGAUUGAUGCCAACGAUUUGUGCUAAUGGCCGCAUCCAAGUGGCAACUGGUCCGGCCACCCAGGAUGCGCUGUCAGGUGGAUUGGCCUGGCCUCCCCGGCCACGUUCAUCGUCGGGUUGUUGGUGUAUUUUUUUUAUGGUUUGACUGGCUCAGGGCACUUUAGAGUGACCUGAAGCUUUAUUUAUUAAUGUUCUUAUUACUAUUGGCAACAUAUAACAUUAUUUAUGGAAACAUUUAACAUUUUUUUAACAUUUAGGUAUUUUUUUUUUACUUUACGGUAACAUUGAUAAUAACAGACAGAAAAAUACUAGACAGUUAUCAAUUUGCUCUUGUAAACAAAAGGUAAGUUAAGAUCGGCUUGUGUUUUCUUUUUUCUGGCUUAGGCAUAAAAAUUUUGUGACGCCGCUCCUGGACCCCUCAUCCGGUGCGAAACGGAGGUAUGGACGACAGGGAGACCUCCAAGCAUCGGCAACGCAAGCGCGGCAUCGCCUCGUCCCUCUUUUCCUGGCCGAAUCCAACCGAUGCAGCUCUAAGAAGAACGGCGGCGCAUAUGCUUCUUUCUGUGGAUGAUAUGAAACUCCUGGCUGAUUUUAAUAUUGUUUUAUUUUCAGGUUUAUGUUUUGUAGGUUUGGUGAUCAAGUGUCAGGAAUCCAGUUAGGUUCGAUUGGUCCAUUGGGAGGUUUGCGUUGAGUUUGGCUAAAUUAAUUUAUUUAGAGGUUUGCGUUGAAUUUGGU